GAUCCUGGCUCAAGACGACCUUUGGCGGCGCGCCUAACACAUGCAAGUCGAACGAGCGAGAGAGAGCUUGCUUUCUCGAGCGAGUGGCGAACGGGUGAGUAACGCGUGAGGAACCUGCCUCAAAGAGGGGGACAACAGUUGGAAACGACUGCUAAUACCGCAUAAGCCCACGGGUCGGCAUCGACCAGAGGGAAAAGGAGCAAUCCGCUUUGAGAUGGCCUCGCGUCCGAUUAGCUAGUUGGUGAGGUAAUGGCCCACCAAGGCGACGAUCGGUAGCCGGACUGAGAGGUUGAACGGCCACAUUGGGACUGAGACACGGCCCAGACUCCUACGGGAGGCAGCAGUGGGGAAUAUUGCACAAUGGGGGGAACCCUGAUGCAGCGACGCCGCGUGGAGGAAGAAGGUCUUCGGAUUGUAAACUCCUGUUGUUGGGGAAGAUAAUGACGGUACCCAACAAGGAAGUGACGGCUAACUACGUGCCAGCAGCCGCGGUAAAACGUAGGUCACAAGCGUUGUCCGGAAUUACUGGGUGUAAAGGGAGCGCAGGCGGGAAGACAAGUUGGAAGUGAAAUCUAUGGGCUCAACCCAUAAACUGCUUUCAAAACUGUUUUUCUUGAGUAGUGCAGAGGUAGGCGGAAUUCCCGGUGUAGCGGUGGAAUGCGUAGAUAUCGGGAGGAACACCAGUGGCGAAGGCGGCCUACUGGGCACCAACUGACGCUGAGGCUCGAAAGUGUGGGUAGCAAACAGGAUUAGAUACCCUGGUAGUCCACACCGUAAACGAUGAUUACUAGGUGUUGGAGGAUUGACCCCUUCAGUGCCGCAGUUAACACAAUAAGUAAUCCACCUGGGGAGUACGACCGCAAGGUUGAAACUCAAAGGAAUUGACGGGGGCCCGCACAAGCAGUGGAGUAUGUGGUUUAAUUCGACGCAACGCGAAGAACCUUACCAAGUCUUGACAUCCCUUGACGAUGCUGGAAACAGUAUUUCUCUUCGGAGCAAGGAGACAGGUGGUGCAUGGUUGUCGUCAGCUCGUGUCGUGAGAUGUUGGGUUAAGUCCCGCAACGAGCGCAACUCUUAUGGUCAGUUACUACGCAAGAGGACUCUGGCCAGACUGCCGUUGACAAAACGGAGGAAGGUGGGGAUGACGUCAAAUCAUCAUGCCCUUUAUGACUUGGGCUACACACGUACUACAAUGGCGUUAAACAAAGAGAAGCAAGACCGCGAGGUGGAGCAAAACUCAGAAACAACGUCCCAGUUCGGACUGCAGGCUGCAACUCGCCUGCACGAAGUCGGAAUUGCUAGUAAUCGUGGAUCAGCAUGCCACGGUGAAUACGUUCCCGGGCCUUG
rnacentral:rRNA from 1 species